GUAUAGUUCAGUAGUAGAGCACUUGCCUAGCAUGUAUAAGACCCUGGGUUCAGUUCCCAGUAC
rnacentral:tRNA from 1 species